rnacentral:rRNA from 1 species
GCCAGCCCGCUCAGAAACUCAAAGGAAUUGACGGGGCCCGCACAAGCGGAGGAGCAUGUGGUUUAAUUCGAUGAUACGCGAGGAACUUACCUGGGCUCGAACGUAAGAUGACUGUAGGUGAAAGCUUACAUCUCUUCGGAGCAUUUUACGAGGUGCUGCAUGGUUGUCGUCAGCUCGUGCCGUGAGGUGUCGGGUUAAGUCCCAUAACGAGCGCAACCCCUACCUUUAGUUGCCAUCAGGUUAAGCUGGGGACUCUAAAGGAACUGCCUACGCAAGUAGUGAGGAAGGCGGGGAUGACGUCAAAUCAGCACGGCCCUUACGUCCAGGGCUACACACGUGCUACAAUGGCCGAUACAGAGGGCAGCUACCUGGUGACAGGAUGCAAAUCUCCAAAGUCGGUCUCAGUUCGGAUCGGAGUCUGCAACCCGACUCCGUGAAGUUGGAUUCGCUAGUAAUCGCGCAUCAGCCAUGGCGCGGUGAAUACGUUCCCGGGCCUU